GGUUACACCGGGUAAUCUAUCCUUCGAACGGCCGGUCAUGCUAAUAAAGCCGGCAGGUAUAAUGUGGAACGAUCGUAAAUCUCGUCGGUUCAAGGUACAACCUCGGUCGCACAAGUGCAACGCGUCGGUAGCGUAACGAGGACGUGUAAGUUUCAAGACGCGUAUUGGACGUCUAAGGAAACCCGUUACACCGGAUACUUCACCUCGAGAAACUAUCCGAAAAGGACGUCUGCGCAUGUGAAGCAGUAGAAUCAUUAUGGAACAAGAGAACACGAAAUUAACGAUCCCCUGUACAUCGACUCAUGCGUCAAACUGAAUCCAUUGUGUAACGGCAAUACUAUCAGCAUCGUCAGUCAACGAACAUCAUCAUCGUUGGUCCAGUCAUCUACGUCGCCUGACCGCGC